CUGACGCAACUGAAAAGUCAGCCUUUUUCAGAAAAGUGUAGAGUCUGAUGAGCACAGUGUGUUUGAAAACCUCAGCUGUUCCCAGGACACAGGAGUGCUUUUCCCACUGGCUGCAUGCUCAGCUGAGGUGCAAGUCACGCCUGGUUCCUGUUCCUGAGCAAGCCAUGGAGAUCAGAGCUGCCCAGCAGGGAGGGAAAGCCCAGCUUGGUGCCCCUGCCUUCUGCUGGAAGUGCUCUCUGCUGUGUUUCCCUGCGAGGGAGUUAGUGCACAUCUCUCCACACAUCGUCAGAGGCACACAGAAACUCUCAUCCCCCGCCUGCAGAACACAGGUGAAGGCUGUUUCCCAAAGGCUCUAAGGCUUCUCCUAAAAUCAGGGGUCCCCAGAAUAUGUUGAUUUUCUCCUACAAAGAAAAGGUCUUUCAGGGAACCUUCUCUGAACAAGAGCCUCCUCCAAAGCAGGAGGGCAGCUGCAGAAGGGUGCCGUGGGGUACAGACAGCUCAGAGCUGCUGCUCUCAGCUGCACCCACAGCACCCCACGGGCAGGAGCACAGCUCCCCUGCUGCUCUGGGACAGCCUAACAGCUCGGGCUUAGUCUGCUGCGACAGAAUCGCUGCCCUGCGCGUGCCCUGCGUGUACCUCGCAGGAAACAGAGAGGCUCCUUGCCAAAGGGAGCUCUGAGCUCCCCGUGCAAAGCCCCAGCAGCCAUCCCUGCUGGCACACCUGCAGUGGAAGGGCUGACUUGCUCUCACUGCUGCAUUUCAGCAGCAUUCCUGAGCAGGGGGCCAGGCCUGGCGCCAUGUGAGGUUAAAGACAUUACCUCUGCAAGGGGAGAUUUUAGGCUGGGAUUCCACAUUUUUCUCCUGCAGAGGUCCCUGUCACUGCAAAACAAAAUAAUAGCACCCAAAGGCAUGUUAAGUCAUUGUAGUGAUUCCAAAAUCCAUUAUUCCCCUGGCUAAUUAAAAAAGCUUCAAGCUCGAUUCCAGGUCUUACAACUGUGAAUUUUGUAUUUGCAGUGGUGAAAUUCCCCUCUUCUUUUUAUCCACAGAUGGUCAUGAUUAUAUGCUUUUGUUCAAUAAUUAAUCAUUCUUGUGUCAUGUUGACUUGGUUUGGGGAUUUAAAUUGCAUGCCUCACUGAAGGGAAUCUGUAAUUGAGAUACAAAUCUGAGCACCUGUGAAAGACUUCAAGUUUUGUGUUCAUGCCUAAGUAUAGAUUCUUAAAUGUAUGUUUUACUACUUUAAAAGCAUCUGCACAGGAUGUCAGUGGAGGUUGAUCUGUCAUCACUCUGUUGUCAGCAGACCCACUGGGUUCUGACAGCUGAACAGAGGCCAUUAAUUGAAACUGCCGGGUUUUGUCAGACCCUUGACAUGCUCCCUAGAUAAUUCAGUCUUAUGCAUUUCAAGCGUUUGCAGCAGGAGCAAGACUAAAUCUUUCAAUUUCCCUGCUCCAUUCUAUGCCUCUCUUUCUAAGAAAAAAGGAUUUAUUCCUGCAGCAAUAACCCUUGCAUUUUGAAGUGAGGGUGUUGGUGUAACUUGGUUCUGCAUUGAGAAGUGCCAGGGUUUGUGAUGACUCCUCAGAGGGAAGCUGUGCAAAGGUUCUGGCAGUGACUCCCCACCCUCAGGAAGGUUACAGGGGAUAAUGCCACAAGCUUUGCAGGAAUAAAGAGCUUUUUCUGACUGUUCUAAGAAGGUUCUUUGCUAGAAUAAGCAAACAAGAAGUGGACCUGACUUCAGGUCCCUCUGCUCCCACAGCUAUCCUCACUGGAGUUAGCAACUGCUCCUGGGGAGAUAUGGCUCUCAGCCAGUCUUCCUUAAAGGAGAAGUGUUAGUUUUGCAUGUAACUAUGACCUAUUUUAAAAUUUUUGCUCUAUAUACAAUCUCACUCUUUAUAACACAUCCAUGGAAUGCAUAUGAUGGAGAGCCAGCGGUCAACCCUUAGACUCAUGUUUAGAAAACACCACCUUUGUUUGUUUUACAUGUUUAUAAUUGUCUCUGGCUAUAUCAUCGUUUGUGAAUUUCCACUGUAGCUUUCAAAGUGAUGUUGGUUUGUCUGGAUAGUAACAUUGCUAAAAGGCACUUAAAAUGUCAAAUCCAAGAACAGUUGUUUGCUUCUUCUUGCUACUACAACCUACCACAGAUGUAAAUCAUGACCCAUAUUGCUACAGCUUCUGGAAUCAAAGUAAAGCCAAAUAAUAUAUAGCCCAGCACAGAUAUAUUCCCUAAUGACACACUAGUGUGGUGCUCCAGCCCCCCAUUUUAUAGGAGAAAAGGAGGAUAUAUGAUGAGAGGUUAGUGCCAACUUCUCACUUCCUCGGUGGUGACUGCAGUUUUGUAUGGGACAAUCUGCUCCUUCCAUGCAUUGCUCAGAGGUGGAUCCUGUUCAGAAACCCCUUCUCUGCCCCCUGCAACAGAGGGCUAUGCCACCUUCACGUGGAACCAUGUUCAACUGGAAUGCCACAGAUUUGCCUCUGGGGCCAGCCUGAGCUGCAACGGAGCAUGGAGAAGACAGGUUUCAGGUCAGAGAGCAGAACAAGCACGAUCUUAUCCCAGUGCCAGUUCCUGCACAUUGCAGAGUCACCGCCAGGCAUGGCCCUGCUCUGGGAAGGGACGGAGAGCAAACUGCAGGGAACAAACAGGCACAGGCAACUCCAGAAGCAGCACUCCAGAAACAGUUCAUGGUAUGGAAGAGAUGGCAUAUUUCUUUUUACAAUGGGGUGAAAAAUGGUGUUUAAGGCCUGGUUCUGCAAAGUACACUGGAAGAAAACAGGCUCCAAAACCAGAGCUCUGAAAAUGGUUUGAAUUUGCAAACCUGAUACACACUGAGAUCACUUCUUCAGCAUUAAUGAAGGACAAGUUGUGCCUUUUAAUCAUGUUUAUAAUGGAAGUGCUCAAUUAUAAAAUAAUAACAAUACAAAAUGCAGGUCCUCAUAAACAACUAUUAUUUGUCUACCCCAAACACUUUCAGUUUUGCUUAGCAAGCUCUCAAUUUCUGAUGAUUCUAUUUUAGUGGAUUUCAGCAGAACUACUUAUAUAAGUUUUAAAACAAAAUUAACAGCAGAAAAGCAGAGAUUUACAUGAAGAGAAUUUAGGCUUAUAUUCACCACAUCAUUUUAGUGUCUGGCAGCAGGAGUAUUUCAGUAGAUGCACUCACAGAUGUUGAUAGUAGCUGUACAGUUGGAUGAGAAAAGCAAGAAUUAGCCACAGAAGUAGUGUUUUUUUGGUAUAUACUUUGCAUACAUAGAUUCCAUGUGGAGACAGGGAAUCCAUCAAUCCACUACCUGCUACAAACCCCACAUUUGUGCUUUUGUAGGAAAGUUACAGCUCAUCCAGACUGUAAGUUUUCUGAAGCAUGUUUAGGCAAAAAAGGCCAGGGAACCAGUUUGGGCUGACUGCUGUCUCAUGUGCUACAUGAUGUGGUAGCAAUAGAGCUGUCAAAAAUUGCUCAGAACUUAAAUAUGUACAUGUUUCCCCACACCUUUAUUUAUCCAGCUCUGGUCUCUGCUUUUGAAUUCCUGCUUCGCAGUAAAAGGGGAAGAAAGGGCAUUGCACUUCUGGAAGUGCAAGGUGAGGGGUGCAGGCACACAUUCCCUUGGAACCUGAGCAUCCCACACUCCUGAACCAAGCAGAUGGCUCCUCAGCACAGGUACCAUCACUCCAAACAAUCAGGACUCCCUGGGAAGUCUAUUUAAAUGGGCCACCUAAACAUUAUUAUUAUGGAUUUGCAAUGGCUUUAAUGUCUACUCUGUAACUGCCCCCUCAUCUUAAAAACAGACCAUCUUUCCUCUCCACACUUCCUCUUAGUCUUCUACCCCAAGUAUUACAAAAGUCCUUUAGGAACUCAGUCCUGUAAAUGGAUUUAUAACUACAAAUCAAAUUGUGCCCCACAGUACUUAUUUAAAAUAUCUGACAAGCUCUCUGAAGUUUGUCUAUGUUUCCUUUUUUGCUUAGACAACAUAUUAAAAACAAAUGCCCUGCCACUAUUCAUGCUUUUUACACUGAGAUGUAAUUGAUAAAGCUGGUGGGAAGUCUGAAGAAUGGUUUAUACACAAAGUGAUUACUUACUGUUCAAAGCAGAAGUUUUCAAGAAAAUGAGCAACCUAGAUUCUAGAAAAUCUAGCAAUGAAUUAUUGAAAAGUCCAUUAAAAUAAAACCAUGCCAAACAGAAAUAUUUCAGACACACCAAGUCUAUCAAAGAGAUGUGGAUUUUCUCCAAUAUUGAUAUCACACUUUACUUAAUUUGAGUUUGAAAUAUGUGAGAGAAUAUGCUGCUGAACGCCACAUGAGCUAUCUGAAACUGUUCACAUUUCUCUCUUUACUAGGUUAAAUGAAACCUGAUCUGGAUUCCACUUGAUCAUAAGACUGGAAUGCUGAAAAUGCUGUAAUCUAUUUAUACAUCAAAUUGAAGAAACAUUGCAUGUCUUUAAAUUUCACUGCAUUCCACUGUAUUAGCUAAAUAGCAACAGUUUACAAACUGUUUCACAUUCAAACUGAGAAAGAAAAGACAGACCAACCUGACUUAUUUAUCCUAAAGCCAGGAUUGAUUUCCUGGCUUUAAAACUAUGGCCCAAACCCAGGUCUGCUCUGUGCCUUCCCUAAAAGCCUUGUUCUUGCAGCAGUAAUUCAUCAUUAGUGCCAAAACAUGGUAGUUGCCUUAUGAUGACUUCCAAAUCCACAGUUCUUUUUUAGCAUCAAGAACAAUCCCAAACUAGAUUUGCAGCUCAGAUUUUGUCCAUGCUUCUCUUCCCUCUGCCUCUAAACCACAAAUGGUUCAAAAUACAGCAGGCAGCAAGGCUGAGAACAACGGUGGUAAAUAAGAACAGCCAAAUCCCACAGAUGAAAACCAUACAGGGGCUUAUUGCCAGGAAAAACCAGGAGGUUUUGGCAGUAACCCAUCCACCAAGAGACCACCUCAGACCCCCCAGUGCAUCAGCAGUCUCCACAGAAUGCUGCCAUUUCCCUCAGUUAUUUACAGAAUAAUUUACAGAAUAUUUACAGAACAGUGCUGUUUGACACAUCAUUCUGACUAGAGGAGCUGCUCCUGUUCAAACACCACAGCUGUGAGCAGCACAAGAUCUACAGAAAAAGGUGCCCAUGAUGAAGAACAGCCUAGUGUGCUAAAGGCCUGUCUGUUGAUCUGCACAAAUGUACAUCCUGGAUUUUAACAUCUCUCAGUAAAGAAAGACACACCUGCCACUGACAUUUGAUGGCUUUUGCAUUGACUUGAAAGGGGUCAGGAUCAGGCUAACAACAGCUGAUGGUGUUUCAUAACAUUUAUUCAUUUCUGCUUGCAUUUUCAGUGUGUUUCAAUGGGUGAAACAGUGUCCGUUUUUCUCACUUGUCAUUCCUGUGAUUUCUUUCAUUAGUUGUUGGAUUUAGUGCCUAUUAUUGCCCAUGUAGAAGACUAUGAACACUACAAAGACAAAAAGAGCCAUAUUUUAGAGUCAGGGGAGAGGAAAAUUCUGUGCUCUUUGUCACAUGAAACUUUAAGAAGAGCCUGAAGCUAAAUACUGCAGUACUAUUCAUGGUUCUCUGGAUAGUUAGUGGCCUUUAUAAAUGCAAAAAUCCCACUUAGACAUUCACAUAACUAAUUUGCCAUUUUCUGUGCCUUUUUUCCCUCCAGCAGUCUGUAACCUGGUAUUUCUCUUCCAGGUCUUGUGUCUUACAGCUUGAAAUUCAAAAGAACUUGAAAUUCAAAUUACAAUUGCAUCUCAGUUGGGUUUGAGACAAUUUGUGGUAAUUUAGAGGAGUCUUAAAAACAAGAAUAAUUUGAGUCAGUGUCUUACUGUCUAGAACCACGAGUUUCAUAAAAAGGAAAAUGUACAGUUUACAGUAAGGAAUUUCUGACACUACUGUUUAUUUUAAAAUUUAUAAUGUUAAUGCAGGAUUUGAUAUAACAGUCAUCAGAAACAGAGUGCACUCUCAGUAUACCCAGUUUUUAGUAACUCCUAAAUUUCUCUUCAAAUUUGAAAAGACCCUAGGGAUAAAUAAACUGCUUGUCACUUGUUCAUUACUGUGCCAGUAUGUUACUAUUGCUAAGACAUAUCACAUGGCCUGACCAAAAUGUAGGUCUCAGUACUUGACACACAGAAGAAUGGUAAGUAGAGCCCUCAACAGUUCUCUGUAUCUGCAGAUAAGGCAGAUGAUAGAUGGGAGAGAAAAAAAAUGAAGAUCAAAGAAUGAAAAAUAACUUGUACAAGGCUGUACUGCAGAUCAAUACCAACUGAGGGGUGAGACUAAGCUAAAAAAAGCUAAAAAACCAAUCCCCUGAACGUUUCCUACUGACUGCCCCUCAAACAGUCUCAGCCUGGACUCCUGACACUUGAGAGGAUGCCCUAUUUGUGAGAUCAAUGCCAUCCCCAGGCUAGAUUUUCGUCUCCAACAGUAAUCACCUAAUGUUAUUAAAGGCUGAGAUAUCUGAACCCAUGCACUUUAGAUACUAAUAAACUGACUCCAUUUAAUAUUCCUACAUCUUUCUUUUGAAAAACAUUGUAAUUUUAAAGCUAUAUCAGGGCUUUUCAAAAGCUUAAAUGCACACAUACACCUAGCAAUACACGACUAUUAAUGUACAAUAAUUUAUAAUAUAUGUAUUAAUAUAGAUCUUUAUCCAGCCACGCAUUCAUUGCUGGGUGUGAGCACGUGUGUGGCUGUGUGCACUCCAUAAGCAUUCAGGGGUUUAGUGCAUGCUAGUGACACACAGAUUUCAGCCACUAUCAGUGGAAAGCACCACCUUUUGACCAUUUAAAAUUCUAGAAACAAACAAAUAGAACAUUGUAGUGCCAUUUUCACUGGAUACCUACAACUGCCACACUCCAGAAGAGCUUCUUUUUUAGUCUUCUAUUACUUGCGGGAGCAUUUCAGUCCGGAGGCUGUGUGAGAGAUACUUCUUUCACAUGACUGGUGCGUGAUCUUUAAAUGGCAAAAUAUGUAAACUGUGUAAAAUCACCCGCAGUGAGAACAGGAGAACCACAAGGAAAGCCGCUAAGGAUCUCACUGCCACUGAAACCUGUGGGGAUGCUCCCAGCGAAGUGUGUAAUGUGAAGGUGACAGAGCGUUACCCAGACCUCUGUCGGGUGAGCCAGCAGCAGUGAGAAGGAGCCUGCUGCCCUUCCCCUGCCUGCUCCAUCUGUCCUGUCCAGGUCUAAAAUCCAGGCACACGGACACCAGGAGCGUGCCACAGCGCUGGCGCUCGCACACACCGACAGAAGGCGUGUGGGAAUUCCUUUUAACUACCUGUGGCCAAUGUUUUUCGUGAAGGAAAAAAAGGAAUAUGUACAUGCUUGACACUUAAUAAAAAUAUCAGUGUA